rfam:Glycine max cultivar Williams 82 chromosome 10, whole genome shotgun sequence.
GCUGGAAUAGUUCAGUUGGGUACUGUGUAUGGCUUUUAACCACAAGUUCGGAGGUUUAAGCCCUCCUUCUAGGG